rnacentral:rRNA from 1 species
GACGAACGCUGGCGGCGUGCUUAACACAUGCAAGUCGAACGGAAAGGCCCUGCUUUUGUGGGGUGCUCGAGUGGCGAACGGGUGAGUGACGCGUGAGUAACCUGCCCUUGACUUUGGGAUAACUUCAGGAAACUGGGGCUAAUACCGGAUAGGAGCUCCUGCUGCAUGGUGGGGGUUGGAAAGUUUCGGCGGUUGGGGAUGGACUCGCGGCUUAUCAGCUUGUUGGUGGGGUAGUGGCUUACCAAGGCUUUGACGGGUAGCCGGCCUGCGAGGGUGACCGGCCACAUUGGGACUGAGAUACGGCCCAGACUCCUACGGGAGGCAGCAGUGGGGAAUAUUGCACAAUGGGCGGAAGCCUGAUGCAGCAACGCCGCGUGCGGGAUGACGGCCUUCGGGUUGUAAACCGCUUUCGCCUGUGACGAAGCGUGAGUGACGGUAAUGGGUAAAGAAGCACCGGCUAACUACGUG